ACAGUCGUGGCCGAGUGGUUAAGGCGAUGGACUAGAACUGCAUUCGUGUCUCCCCGCACAGGUUCGAAUCCUGUCGACUGCG
rnacentral:tRNA from 1 species